GAUUGAACGCUGGCGGCAGGCCUAACACAUGCAAGUCGAACGGUAGCACAGAGAGCUUGCUCUCGGGUGACGAGUGGCGGACGGGUGAGUAAUGUCUGGGAAACUGCCUGAUGGAGGGGGAUAACUACUGGAAACGGUAGCUAAUACCGCAUAACGUCGCAAGACCAAAGAGGGGGACCUUCGGGCCUCUUGCCAUCAGAUGUGCCCAGAUGGGAUUAGCUAGUAGGUGGGGUAACGGCUCACCUAGGCGACGAUCCCUAGCUGGUCUGAGAGGAUGACCAGCCACACUGGAACUGAGACACGGUCCAGACUCCUACGGGAGGCAGCAGUGGGGAAUAUUGCACAAUGGGCGCAAGCCUGAUGCAGCCAUGCCGCGUGUAUGAAGAAGGCCUUCGGGUUG
rnacentral:rRNA from 1 species